CCUACGGGGGGCAGCAGUGGGGGAUAUUGCACAAUGGGGGCAACCCUGAUGCAGCGACGCCGCGUGAGCGAUGGAGUACUUCGGUAUGUAAAGCUCUGUCAGCAGGGAAGAGAAUGACGGUACCUGACCAAGAAGCCCCGGCUAAAUACGUGCCAGCAGCCGCGGUAAUACGUAUGGGGCAAGCGUUAUCCGGAUUUACUGGGUGUAAAGGGAGCGUAGACGGCAAUGCAAGUCCGGAGUGAAAGCCCGGGGCUCAACCCUGGGACUGCUCUGGAAACUGUAAAGCUGGAGUGCGGGAGGGGCAG
rnacentral:rRNA from 1 species